rnacentral:rRNA from 1 species
UAGGGAAUCUUGCGCAAUGGGCGAAAGCCUGACGCAGCAACGCCGCGUGGGGGAUGAAGGCCUUCGGGUUGUAAACUCCUUUUAGUGGGAACGAAAAUGACGGUACCCACAGAAAAAGCCCCGGCUAACUACGUGCCAGCAGCCGCGGUGAUACGUAGGGGGCGAGCGUUGUCCGGAUUCACUGGGCGUAAAGAGCUCGUAGGUGGUUUGAUAAGUCGGAUGUUAAAUCUCCAGGCUCAACCUGGAUGCGCCAUUCGAUACUGUCAUGACUAGAGUCCGGUAGGGGACCAUGGAAUUCCUGGUGUAGCGGUGAAAUGCGCAGAUAUCAGGAGGAACACCAGUAGCGAAGGCGGUGGUCUGGGCCGGUACUGACACUGAGGAGCGAAAGCGUGGGGAGCGAACAGGAUUAGAUACCCCCGUAGUCC